rnacentral:rRNA from 1 species
UAGGGAAUCUUCGGCAAUGGACGAAAGUCUGACCGAGCAACGCCGCGUGAGUGAAGAAGAUUUUCGGAUCGUAAAACUCUGUUGGUAGAGAAGAACGUUGGUGAGAGUGGAAAGCUCAUCAAGUGACGGUAACUACCCAGAAAGGGACGGCUAACUACGUGCCAG